CCUCCUUCGAUUCUUCUGGAGACCGACAGAGAGAGGGAGAGAGAGUCAGAGAGCAGCUGUAUCGGCAGUCACCAUUGCUGGCCUCCUUCAAUUGGGAGUCACCGAUUCUUUGAUUCCUUCGUCGUCUUCAACGUCGGUGGUGUGUGUGAGUGACAACCGAGAGGGAGAGAGGAGAACUUCAAUCAUCCAGACCUUCAUUUUUGUUCUCCUCCCCUUCAUCGCUGACAAGAGCAAGUGGUCUUGCUGUGGGUGUCAGUAUUGCUGGAUUCUGGGCUCUUCAUCCGUACGUCGUCUGUGUGUGUGAAGCGAAAGACCUUUUACUAGCAGAGGUUGCCAGAUUCUUCCAUGUAUUUCCAUGUUCGUGCUGUUCUGUGCUGUCUCUGUUUUGCUUCUUCCUUCUUUUUGCUGUUUGCGUGUGGGAUUCAUUAGUUGAUGCUGAAUCUCCUGCCGACCUUUGGAGGGCAUAUGGCUAUAUUGGAUGGAAAUUUUAUUUGGUAUUGUUACCUCUUAAUGUAAAUAUUUAAGAUUCAUGUAUUUUAGCUUAGAAGUAAAAUUAGUUGCUCCACAUAAGCUAUAGUUAGAGUUUUAUUUUAAUAUAUAUAUAUAUAUAUAUGUUGUCUGUUGGCUGGAAGGAGCUGAGCUCUUAAUUGAUACAAUGUUUAGGAAAAUUUUUGUUUUGUAAAAUUUUUGGGAGAUCCUAAUU